CUCGUCUCUGUCGUUUGACGUCUGUCGAAAAAUUUUCUACAGACAUUUCAUUGUUGCCGUCACCGUUUAUUUUAUUGAACAAAUUUAUCUAAAAAUUACCAUGAAUUCUAAAGUAUCUCCUGAUCAAAUAAAUUUAAAAGUACUCGGUAAAGAUAAUUUAAUGCUUCCAUUUAAAACGAAGACAGUUACUCAACUAAAAAAAUUAAUGUUUGUCUACUGUAAAAAAACUGUCUUACUUUUAGCACAGUAAGAUUUCGAUAUGAUGGACAACAAGUUAAUGAGACUGAUACUCCAGCCUAUAUAGAUAUGGAAGACGGUGAUACAAUCGAAGUAUUCUAAAAUCAACAUGGUGAUUGCCAUUUUUAAUUAUAUUAUACAGUAAUAUUGGUGUGAAAUCAAUUUUAAACUUGGAAAAAAGUUUAGUUGAAUUUAAAAUACACAAAUGUUUUUAUUAGUUAUGUGUGUAAUAUUUAAUGUAAAUAUGGAAUAAUUUAAUAUUAUUAUUAUUUAUUAUUAUUAUUUUUUUAUAUUAUUAUAUUUUUUAUAUGUUAAAUAGUGUUUCUAAGAAUAUUGGAGUUAAUAUAUUAAUAUGUACAUAGAUCUGUUUUGUGAAAAACAGUAGAACUCCGAUUAUCCGAACGCCUAUCAACCAGACAAGAAAAAAGAUU